AGCACAGUGGCUCAGUGGUUAGCACUGUCGCCUCACAGCAAGAAGGUUGCUGGUUCGAGUCCUGCCUGGGCUA
rnacentral:tRNA from 1 species